rnacentral:rRNA from 1 species
UAGUCCACGCUGUAAACGAUGUCGAUUUGGAGGUUGUGCCCUUGAGGCGUGGCUUCCGGAGCUAACGCGUUAAAUCGACCGCCUGGGGAGUACGGUCGCAAGGUUAAAACUCAAAUGAAUUGACGGGGGCCCGCACAAGCGGUGGAGCAUGUGGUUUAAUUCGAUGCAACGCGAAGAACCUUACCUACUCUUGACAUCCAGAGAACUUUCCAGAGAUGGAUUGGUGCCUUCGGGAACUCUGAGACAGGUGCUGCAUGGCUGUCGUCAGCUCGUGUUGUGAAAUGUUGGGUUAAGUCCCGCAACGAGCGCAACCCUUAUCCUUUGUUGCCAGCGGUUCGGCCGGGAACUCAAAGGAGACUGCCAGUGAUAAACUGGAGGAAGGUGGGGAUGACGUCAAGUCAUCAUGGCCCUUACGAGUAGGGCUACACACGUGCUACAAUGGCAUAUACAAAGAGAAGCGACCUCGCGAGAGCAAGCGGACCUCAUAAAGUAUGUCGUAGUCCGGAUUGGAGUCUGCAACUCGACUCCAUGAAGUCGGAAUCGCUAGUAAUCGUAGAUCAGAAUGCUACGGUGAAUACGUUCCCGGGCCUUGUACACACCGCCCGUCACACCAUGGGGAGUGGGUUGCAAAAGAAGUAGGUAGCUUAACCUUCGGGAGGGCGCUUACCACUUUGUGAUUCAUGACUGGGG